UUUCCUAAAUCAAACAUAAUACUAAAUUCUUUUCUUAAAUAAACACGAAAGAAGAUGACUGUUGAAAUCUAGUAUUCCAGUAGAACCCUUGAACGAUUGAUCCCAAGGCACACAUCUUGGGAUAACCAUUCAUUCUUUUCUAUCACUCCUAAAGUACUUCAAACUAUUUUUAAAAAUCAUAUAUCAAAUUAUUUAUAUGAAUCAAACCUCGAUCAACAUCGAGUGAUUUUUCUCAAUCAAACUUAAUAUUGAAAAUCUUUUUCUUAACAAACACGAAAAAAAAU
rnacentral:lncRNA from 1 species